rnacentral:rRNA from 1 species
UACGUAGGGGGCAAGCGUUGUCCGGAAUCAUUGGGCGUAAAGCGCGUGUAGGCGGCUCGAUAAGUCUGCUGUGAAAGUCCAGGGCUCAACCCUGGGAUGCCGGUGGAUACUGUCGAGCUCGAGUCCGGAAGAGGCGAGUGGAAUUCCUGGUGUAGCGGUGAAAUGCGCAGAUAUCAGGAGGAACACCGGUGGCGAAGGCGGGUCUCUGGGCCGAUACUGACGCUCAGGUGCGAAAGCGUGGGGAGCAAACAGG